rnacentral:rRNA from 1 species
GACGAACGUUGGCGGCGUGCUUAACACAUGCAAGUCGAACGGAAAGGCCCUGCUUUUGUGGGGUGCUCGAGUGGCGAACGGGUGAGUAACACGUGAGUAACCUGCCCUUGACUUUGGGAUAACUUCAGGAAACUGGGGCUAAUACCGGAUAGGAGCUCCUGCUGCAUGGUGGGGGUUGGAAAGUUUCGGCGGUUGGGGAUGGACUCGCGGCUUAUCAGCUUGUUGGUGGGGUAGUGGCUUACCAAGGCUUUGACGGGUAGCCGGCCUGAGAGGGUGACCGGCGACAUUGGGACUGAGAUACGGCCCAGACUCCUACGGGAGGCAGCAGUGGGGAGUAUUGCACAAUGGGCGGAAGCCUGAUGCAGCAACGCCGCGUGCGGGAUGACGGCCUUCGGGUUGUAAACCGCUUUCGCCUGUGACGAAGCGUGAGUGACGGUAAUGGGUAAAGAAGCACCGGCUAACUACGUG